GCUAUGGUGACGAUCGCGCAGCAGUAGGCGAAGGGCUCGCUAACUUGUUUGAUUCCAACACGGUCGGGCCUGGCACUCCAUGAAUAUUUUUGCUUUUGUUAUUUCUCCCGCUUUCAUGUCUCCGCUUAUUAAAUAUUAGACAAGAUUAAAUAAUGUUUAAAAUUGUUGUAUUUAUGCGUAAUUUUGGAUGUAAUCCACUUUUUAAUUUUGAAAUAUUAAAGUAGAUUCGUGUUGUCUUUCGUGAAAGCAUCUAAAUUGUAUAUUCACAUGUUGUGAAAGCAUCUAAAUUGUAUAUUCACAUGUUCAAAUUAGUAUUUGGCUAAAUGAGAAAUUAAAACUCAAAGUGCACCAUUGAAGUUAGAAAAUGUUGAAGGGAAAGCUAAAGAAUCUUGCUCCAAGGAAAAUCCUGCAAUCCAUCGUCCCUUUCAUUCCAUCCAGCCUCCUGUUCCGCUAGGUCCUGAGUUACCUUUGAGUGUGUUUUACUUAUGAGUUUUAUUCUAUUUUUAACUUAAUUAUGAACUAGAUCUUAUGAGUAGUAAACGUUUUUAAUGUGUUUAUUAGUAUUGUUUUGUAAAAGUAACGAGAUGGUGCAAGACAAGGAAAGAAACAAUAAAACAAAGUUAUUGGCAUGGAUUGAGGAGAAAAGAGGUACGAAAGGGGCAAAAGAGUCAAACCACGACUCCAAGGAAUAGUGGCGCUCCGACUACACAAAGCAGGUAGCCAGAUAGAAUUGUGGUGCCACAGCAUAGUGAUUGAGUGCUAUGGCGCCGCUGAAGACACAAGGGUUACAUUUUUCGAUCCAUUUUAACACCAGCAUGGGAAGGAGUAUAAAUAUAAGUUACUGGCAAUUUAUGAGGAUUCCACACAUUCAAAGAUAGAGAACGUAAAUACAAAUUGAAGAACACAAUUCAAGGGAGUAAAAACAGCAAGAAAUUCAAGUUUUGAAGUAUUGAUUGGCAAAGCAAGAAGAUCUUGGUUCAAGAUAAAUCUCUUUUUCUACAUCUUUAUUCAAAAUCCGAUGAUGUAUUCAAUAACAACAUUUGUUUUCCUUUUUCAUUAUGAGUAGCCAAAUUUCAUAUUAGGAUAAACAAUGCAAUCUACUUGAG
rnacentral:lncRNA from 1 species